UACGGAGGGUGCAAGCGUUGUUCGGAUUGACUGGGCGUAAAGCGCACGUAGGCGGGUUCGUAAGUCGGAUGUGAAAUCCCUGGGCUUAACCUAGGAACUGCAUCCGAAACUGCGGAUCUUGAAUGCUUGAGAGGUUGGUGGAAUUCCUGGUGUAGGAGUGAAAUCCGUAGAUAUCAGGAGGAACAUCGGAGGCGAAGGCGGCCAACUGGCAGUGCAUUGACGCUGAGGUGCGAAAGCGUGGGUAGCAAACAGG
rnacentral:rRNA from 1 species